rnacentral:rRNA from 1 species
AUUGAACGCUGGCGGCAUGCUUUACACAUGCAAGUCGAACGGCAGCGCGGGCUUCGGCCUGGCGGCGAGUGGCGAACGGGUGAGUAAUGCAUCGGAACGUGCCCAGUAGUGGGGGAUAGCCCGGCGAAAGCCGGAUUAAUACCGCAUACGACCUGAGGGUGAAAGCGGGGGACCGAAAGGCCUCGCGCUAUUGGAGCGGCCGAUGUCGGAUUAGCUAGUUGGUGGGGUAAAGGCUUACCAAGGCGACGAUCCGUAGCUGGUCUGAGAGGACGACCAGCCAACAUGGGACUGAGACACGGCCCAGACCCCUACGGGAGGGAGCAGGGGGGAAUUUUGGACAAUGGGGGCAACCCUGAUCCAGCCAUGCCGCGGGCGGGAAGAAGGCCUUCGGGUUGUAAACCGCUUUUUUUCGGGAAGAAAUCCUCUGGGCUAAAACCCCGGGGGGAUGACGGUACCGGAAGAAUAAGCAACGGCCAACUACGU